GACGAACGCUGGCGGCGUGCUUAACACAUGCAAGUCGUACGGUAAGGACCUUUCGGGGGUCCAAGAGUAGCGAACGCGAGAGUAACACGUGCGUAACCUGCACACAACUUUGGGAUAACGAUAGGAAACUGGAGCGAAUGCUAGUAAUGCACAACAGCUGUAUGGAGGGGUUGGAAAGCUCCGGCGGUGUUGGAUAGACUGGCGGGCUAACGGCUCGUUGGUGGGGUAGUGGCCUACCAAAGCGGCGGAGGGUAGCCGGCCUGCGAGGGUGACCGGCCACAUUGGGACUGAGAUACGGCCCAGACGCCUACGGGAGGCAGCAGUGGGGAGUCUUGCACAAUGGGCGCGAGCCUGAUGCAGCAGCGCCGCGUGCGGGAUGACGGCCUUCUGGUUGAAAACCGCGUUCAGCAGGGACGAAGCUUUUUGUGACGGUACCUGCAGAAGAAGCACCGGCUAACUACGUG
rnacentral:rRNA from 1 species